rnacentral:tRNA from 1 species
GCGGGUUAGAGUAACGGCAACUCAUCACUUUGACUUGGUGAAGUAGCAAGUUCGAUUCUUGCACCCGCUA